UACGUAGGGGGCAAGCGUUGUCCGGAUUUAUUGGGCGUAAAGAGCGUGUAGGCGGCUUCACAGGUCCGCUGUGAAAACUCGAGGCUCAACCUCGAGACGCCGAUGGAAACCAUCUGGCUAGAGUCCGGAAGAGGAGAGUGGAAUUCCCGGUGUAGCGGUGAAAUGCGCAGAUAUCGGGAAGAACACCCGUGGCUAAGGCGGCUCUCUAGUACGGUACUGACGCUGAGACGCGAAAGCGUGGGGAGCGAACAGG
rnacentral:rRNA from 1 species